UUUACUUCCUGAUAUCGUACAAAAAUCGCAUAAGUAUCGAAUUAUUAGUGAUAUUAUCGCCUUUCAUAAGGUAAAGACAGAUGAAAACAAUUCCAUUUAAUGACAGACAAUGAUUCAUCGGCUAAUGCGUGGCCUGAAGAUGAAUACUCGGACACUAUUAAUGAUUCGGUUUGAAAAUCAAAAUGAUCAACGACAAACAAAUCAAAAAUGUUUGGCAGCCAAUCCUGACUAAGUUUCAGGUGAUGUUAACAUUUUCCAGGACUAAAUCAUGCCUGAACACUGUGUGUGAAGUGAUGUGAGAAUGGAAUGCUGAUCCAGAGAACAACUAGCCCAAGGGUCGAUGGGCGUUUUAAUUGUGAAUGACAGUAACAGUUUAAAUUGACUCAUUAUGCGAUAUGAGAAGCUUUCAUAUCUGAGUAUUUUCCUUGUGAAAGCAUAAUUGUGGAUGGUCGUCUCGACGUAAAACAGUACAGAAUGACUGGAAUGAAAGAUUCAAAUCCAUGGAAAGUGUUGAUGGCUGCCUACUCUUUCAACGCUGAUGCUGGAACUUCAACAUUUAUGUUUACAAGCGUGCAACACUGUGUCACAGAUACAUGUAGCUGUUGGUUAUCGAACUGACAAAAGAUCAUGCCAGAAAGGAUCAUCUCUGUCUACACAAAUUAUUUCUACAAGAGCCUCAAGCCAGCCCACUUUCAGUCAAUGAAAGACAUGUACAUCGUAUAUAUGUGGAACUAUGCGGACUUACCUUAAUGGGUACCCACAGGAUAUAGUGAAGACAAAAGUGGAGGCACUUAGACUUCUACAGGUGUGGUCACUAUGAGUGACAGCAAUGUGGAAGUAAGAUAGCAAAAUGAUGUUCUUCCUAUCCAGAGGAAUCUUCAGCACAACUCUUGUCAACAAAGAAUCUUCAGAACAACUGGUGUCAACAAAGAAUCUUCAGCACAACUCGUGUCAACAAAGAAUCUUCAGCACAACUCAUGUCAACAAAGAAUCUUCAGCACAACUCGUGUCAACAAAGAAUCUUCAGCACAACUAGUGUCAACAAAGAUGAGCAAGCAACACCUGAAUCGAACACCCUCUUUGCAUCAAAACAAACAAUAUAUUGGCAGUAUUGAUUGCAAUUACUAGGACAUUCAUUUGAACAUACAUGAUUGGGCAUCCAGACGUUUUCCCCAUUCUCCCACUCUGCAUUUAUUCAUUAAAUAAAUGAGUUUUAUAUAUUUGUUUCAGCAACAAACAGAUAGAUACAAUAUUUGCCUAAUUCAUAUUUUUUGGUAAAGUCUUUUGAGUUUUAAUUUUUAUACCCCAACCACUGACUUGGUUUUUGGGGAUAUGUUUGUAGGUAUCACUUUGUCCUGUCUGGCUGUUCUGGGACAUGUCUAUUUCUCUCCAUAACUCCAUAUAUACAAAUAUGAAAUAUAUAUAUAUAUUCAAACUUCAUACACAUCAAGACUGUGUUUGCACAAGAAACAUUAUUUUGUGCUAUUGCCAUAUGAUUAUUUCAAUAAUUUUUACUUCUCUCUAUAUAUUUUUAUCCCCCGCCGAAUCGAAGAUUUCGGGAGGGGGAUAUUGUUUUGGCGUCGUCCUUCCGUCCAUCCGUCCGGUACCAUAUCUUGGUAGGCAUUGAUCAGAAAAUGAUCAAACUUGGUCAGAAUGUUCCCUUUGAUCAUAUCUCGACCACUUUUAAAAGUGGGUCGCAUGGGAUCAAAAACUAGGUCAGUAGGUCAAAUCUUAGAAAAAUCUUUGGAACAUACUAGAGGCAUUAUACAAGGUCAAAUAUUCAUGAAAUAAAUCAGAAUGUUUUCCUGGAUGACACUUUGGUCGGAAAUAAAACUGGGCCACAUAUGGUCAAAAAUUAGGUCACUAGGUCAAAUCUUAGAAAAAUCUUGUCCGGAAUCAUAUCAUGGUAAUGAUUGGUCAAGUUAUGUUAAAAAUUGGUCAUGAUGUUAACCUUGAUGAAAUAUGGACCACUUAAAAAAGUGGAUCACAUGGGGUCAAAAACUAGGUCAGGAGGUCAAAUCUUAGGAACAUAUUAGAGGCAUUAUACAUGGUCAAAUAUUCAUAAAACUUAAUUAGAAUGUUUUCCUUGAUGAAAUCUUGGACUUAUUUAAAACUGGGUCACAUAUGAUCGAACAUUAGGUCACAAGGUCAAAUCUUAGAAAUGUUUGGUCCGGAAUGGAAAUGAUUGGUCGGAUUAUGUUCAAACUUGGUCAUGAUGUACCCCUUGAUGAAAAAUGGACCGCUUGUAAAAGUGGGGCAUAUGCGGUCAAAAAUUAGGUCACUAGGUCAAGUUUUAGAAAAAUCUUUGACACACAUUAGAGGCAAUAUGUAUGGUCUUUUAUUCAUGAAACUUGAUCAGAAUGUUUUCCUUGAUGAACUCUUGGAGCUGUUUUAAAACUGGGUCACAUGUGAUAAGAAAUUAGGUCACUAGGUCAAAUCUUUCAAAAUUCUUGUCCGAAAGCUAUUUUAUGGUGGUGUUUGGUCUGAUUAAGUUCAAAAAUGGCCAGAAUGUUCUCUUAGGUUAAAUUUCGACUGUGUUUUAAAAUUGGGUCAUAUGGGUCAAAAACUAGGUCACUAGCUCAUAUCUUACAGAAAUCUUGGGAACACUCUAGAGGCAAUACAUCUGCUUAAUUUCCAUGAAACUUAAUCAGAAUGCCUCGAUGAAAUCUUGGAAUAGUUUGAAACUAGUAGGUCAUGUGGGGUCAAAAAUGAGAUCACUGAGUGAAAUCUUAAAAAAACCUUGUGGACACUCUAGAGGCUAUAUUUUUUGCAUAUAUCUGGACCAAUCUUCAUGAAACUUGAUCAGAAUGUUUGCCUUGAUGAAAUCUUAGAUUAGUUUGGAACUGGGUAACUUGGAGUCAUAAACUAGGUUUCUUAGUCAAUUCUAAAUGUUACAUUAUAUACAAUAUUUGUUUUAUAUUUCAAACAGUUGCAAUCAAACUCAAACUCGUAUAUAUAUAUUUCAUUUUUUUUUUAGAAAUUUUACAUCAGGCAAUAAUGACAAAGUAAGUGAAACCACAGUAUGUGAGUGAAACCGAAUGUAAAGAAACAACUAACAACUCCACAAGGGUGAAAUGCCAAAAGGAAACUUUUACAACAAGUGAUCAAUUCAUUUGUAGUAAUUAUCAAAGGCAAAGAAAUAUUACUAUUUUGAAAGGAAGAAAUCAAUAGUAUUUAUUCUAUUCUCUCAUUGUCGUUGGACGACCAAGAAUUUUGUGAAUUCAUCUUUUGAUUUAAGUUUAAACUUUGUCUAUUUUAAAUUUGUUUGGACAACAAAACAUUUAGUAUAUUUAAUUACUGAUUAAGAAUAGUUUUGAAUGUUAUUUGUAAUGCAAUGACAUUGUUAUUUUAGUUUAAAACUUGUUCAUUUCAAAUUUGUUUUGACAACAAAAUAUUUGGUACAUUUAAAUACUGAUAUUAAAAAGUUUGAUAUUAAGACCUUACAGUUUGUGGAUAUAUAUCUUCAUUCGUUUUGAAUUUGGCUCGGACGACCAUUUUGUGAUUUAACAUUGUGAUUUUUGACCAUUUCAAAUUUGUUGGGGAAGACAAAAAUUCAUAGUUUUUGAUAUUGAGUCAUAAGUUUUGUUAGAACGACAUAGCAUUUUGUGAUUUCAUUUAUUUUGGUUUGUAAUUGUUAUGGAAUUUGACCAUUUCAAAUUCGUUAGGGUGACUUAACAUUUUGGCAAUUCACAUUUUGAUUAAAGUUAAUAGCUUUAAAUUAAAUGCUUCAAAUUAUUUUCUUUGACCUAAAAUUUUGUCUAUUCAUUUUUAAAUUUAAAUUAUUUUUUUUCUAUUUCAAAUUUAUUCAGACGGCAAAACAUUUACUACAUUUGAAUACUGAUUAUUUUUAAGAGUUUUGAAAUUUAUUGGUUUCAAAUUUGUUAGGACAUAUCCUAACAUUUUGAGAAUUCAUAGUUAAGAUAUGCAAUUGUUUUGAAAUUUGUAAGGACAACCUAACAUUUCAUACUUUUGAUAUUCAAUACUUUAACUUUAUGUUUUAAAUUUGUUAGGACGUCCUAACAUUUUGUGAUUUCAUAUUUUUGAUUUUCAACAUCUUUAACUUGGAAUGGUUCAAAUUUGUUAGGACGUCCUAACAUUUUGGGAUUUCAUAUUUUUGAUUUUCAACAUCUUUAAUUUGGAAUGGUUCAAAUUUGUUAGGACGUCCUAACAUUUUGGGAUUUCAUAUUUUUAGUUUUCAAUACUUUUAACUAUGAAUGUUUCAAAUUUGUUAGGACGUCCUAACAUUUUGUGAUUUCAUAUCUUUGAUUUUCCAUGUCUUUAACUUUGAAUGUUUCAAAUUUGUUAGGACGUCCUAACAUUUUUGGAUAUUUUUGAUUUUUCAAUACCUUUAACUUAGAAUUUUCAAAUUUGUUAGGACGUCCUAACAUUUUGGGAUAUUUUUGAUUUUUCAAUACCUUUAACUAAGAAUUUUCAAAUUUGUUAGGACGUUCUAACAUUUUGGGAUAUUUUUGAUUUUUCAAUAACUUUAACUAAGAAUUUUCAAAUUUGUUAGGACGACAUUUUCUGAUUUCAUAUCAUUGAUUUUCAAUAUUUUCAACUUUGAAUGUUUCAAAUUUGUUAGGACGUCCUAACAUUUUGGGAUAUUUUUAAUUUGUUAGGACGUCCUAACAUUUUGGGAUUUCAUAUUUGUGAUUUUCAAUGGUUUCCACUUUGAAUGUUUCAAAUUUGUUAGGACGUCCUAACAUUUUGGUAUUUCAUAUUUUUGAUUUUCAAUCAUUUUUACUUUGAAUGUUUCUAAUUUGUUAGGACGUCCCAACAUUUUUGGUAUUUCAUAUCUUUGAUUUUCAAUAGGUGUUACUUUGAAUGUUUCAAAUUUUGUUAGGACGUCCUAACAUUUUCUAUUAUCUUACUGUUUUUGAUGGAAAAUGCUAUUGAAUAAAGACUAAAAACUCA